UGAAGGUGGCUCCAGAUCGUUG
rnacentral:miRNA from 1 species